UUGCUUACCUGGCAGGGGAGACACCUUGAUCACGAAGGAAGUUUUCCCAGGUAGAGGCUCAUCCAUUGUACAUCCAUUGCACUCCUGCGAUUUCCCCAAAUGUGGGAAACUCAACUGCAUAAUUUGUGGUAGCGGGGGACUGCAUUCACGCUUUCCCCUA